rnacentral:tRNA from 1 species
CCCCUGGUGGUCUAGUGGUUAGGAUGUGGCGCUCUCACCGCCACGACCCAGGUUCGAUUCCCGGUCAGGGAA